ensembl:lincRNA
GGAGAAACUGGCUCUGCAGAGUGAGCUUGUGCUAUCGGGGAAAGAAAUUCUCAACCCGCUGGAUGUCUGAAAUGCAGAAUUCAUGUUCUCUAAAUUCAAGGAAUCCAGCCAGGCAUGGUGGUGCACGCCUGUAAUCCCAGCACUUGGGAGGCUGCGGCAGGAGGAUUGCUGCAAGUUCAAGGACAACCUGGGCUACAUUGUGAGAUGCUGUUUCCAAAAGCCAAUAACCUCUUAUGCGGAUUGUAUGAGUAAACGUGCUGCAGCUGCUGGGCCAUCCUUUCUCCCGGCAGGAGAGGGUUCCACCUGACCUCAGCGUUCUGCAUCCUGACUCUUGUCUUCAUCUCUGCAUCCUCCAGCCUGCUCCCUCUGGAAUUUCAAGAGCUGCGCUGCACAAGGCAUUGCCCGAGAUUGAGGUUUUUAUAAUGGAAUGAAAACGUGAGUUGGCAAAUGUAGGUAUCUUAGAAAUGCAUUUUCCUGGGCAUCCUGUUCUUUGUAAAUCUUCAGGAACACCUGCAUUACGACUGAAGUUGUAUGUCAAAAUUGCAAGUUGGCAAGGCCUUUGCUUAGGCCUCAGAAAAGCUCUUCAGAUUUACAAAGGGGACUCUGUAUGAUCUGGGGAAGGAGUUAACAUUAGCUCAGAGGAGGAAAGGUUGGCCUGUGUGUAAUUAUCUUGUGCCGGGUUCAGCCCCCAGCAGUGCAAAUCGUUAAGUCUGUCCAGUGCAUGCUGGGCGGAAGUGUGUUGUAAGAGAAGUUUAGGGGCUGAGACAUUUCACCCUUCUGUCAUUGCAGUUAACACAUGAGAAGAGAGAGAGGAUGUUUGUCUUUUCUAGAAGGUGACUGAAUGUCUAUGUAAACACAUAGAAAUCUUUAAAAAGUACAGUAGUUCCCACAGUCAACACACGCUGCUAACUCAGCUGGAGGGAUCACUGGUCUAAGAAAGCUUUUUUUCUUUUGGUUUUUUUGAGACAGGGUCUCGUUAUGCAGUUCAGGCCGGCCUUGAGCUCACUUUGUAGCCCAGGCUGGUCUGGAACUCCCAACGAUCCUCCUGUCUCAGUCUCCCGAGUGCUGGGAUUACAGGUGUGCGCCACCAUGCCCAGCUUUUUAAAGAAGGCUUUGUGUGUUCUUAGGUUCUCACAUAAGCACGAUGGCUCGGGGUGGGUGGAGCUAGAUCUACAGUGAGAUGGAGUACUCGAGGUUGUGGAUGGUGGAUCUGCGGCUAGGACCUGCGAAAACGCGGGGCUGAAGAGACCCAAUCCUUAAAAUGUUCCAGAUCUCUGAGAAUGUAGGAUUACUAUGAGGACUGUUUUUGACACAUAGAAACCACCGCAGGAGCAGUGGCCAAGCAAACUCUUGGACCCUUAACCUGCGACUCAUUGAAAGCAAGAGUUAUGUUUCCUUUUGAGGCAGUCAAGGACUUAGUACUUGCUUUUGCAACAAAACAAAACAAAACAAAUAUCAAAGAGUGAUCCUUCUUUUAGGCCCACAGAUGCCCAAUAAGUAACUGAAAGCAGAAGAAAGCUUGAUCUUCGUUUUGUACCGUAACUCUUCGGGUCAUACCCUUGGUCAUCUCCAAAUAUAAGCAUGUUAACCAUUUAGGGAGCGUUUGUCUAACAAGGUGUCAAAACAAAUUUAGCUAGCUUUAAAUUCAUAUAACCUAUGCCCAUUCAACAAGGAGGAUGCCAAGGUAAGGGGUUCACAGGGGCGUCAACUACCAGGGAGCUCCCGCAAGUCUCCAGUCAUUGCCCCGCACCUAAGCUCUCCUCGGAUUCCGCCAGAGCCUCCGCAGCACUGAGACUGCUCUGAGCAGAAAUAAUCAUCUCCCAGAGACUCCAUGCCCCACAAGCACUGGGGCUUUCCCCAGAGCCGGCUUGCAAAACCAGAACUGAGAUAAAGACCAAGCAGAUGCCAGCUUGUCCCAGCUAACCGGGAAGGCUGGUCCCGCUCUGCUGUUGUGGGGCCAGUGCGAUCCUCCUCCUCUCUUCAAGCUGAGGCGCCUUCCUCCCUCCCUUCCUUCCUUUUCUUUUGCUUUCUAACUCUGCCUCAUAAAUCUGCCUGUUUCCCACAAUGACGCAUCCUGAAACUUUUUUUCUAUGACAAUGAGUCAGGAGUCUACUCUGGAGCGAGCUGAAAUUCCCACCUUCCCUCUGGACAUUUUCAUGUUGGUAUAUGAGAAAUAUAUUCCAGCAGGAGAAUUUUUAGCUUCCCUUACGUUUUGGUUUUGAGCCACUAGAGACCACAUGCGCUUCCUUGGAGAGAAUAUAGCUUUGGAGUCAUCCUGGCAAAUUCUCAAGCUGUUACUGGCUGGGGGCUCUAGCAGGCUUCAUUCCAGGUCCUUGGUGUCCUGAACAGAGAAUUGGACAAGACGCACAGAAAAACCAGCGAGGGUGUGCCGUUACUGAAGGUGGGGAAAGUACACCCCACAGGGCAAGAGCAGCCCCUGGGGGAAGGCCAAGGGGCUUCAGGGUCCCAGGUUCCUGGAUUGGCCCCUGCCUCAUGCCAGUAUGCCGCUGAGACAACUGUCCUAUCAGAAACUCACCUGGCCUCUCACCAGCUGUAAAUGAAGGAUCUGGGACAACGCCUUUGAUGGGUCUCACCCAUACGUGAGGUGGAUUAACUAGCGUCUUCGGAUUGAGUUUGUGAACAGUGAAUUCAAACAAAGGCUUGAGAACGUUGCCGUGGGGCUGGUCCAGUGUGCAGUGUCCAGAAGCCUCGGGCCUGGAGUCAUUUUGGGUCCUGCGUUCAGCGCACGUCUUCUCUUUUUAGGAAACGUCUUGCUCAACCACUUAGGCAUGGAUUUUUAUGACUUCAGACACAUUCUGCCCAGUGGACCCCUGGCCUAAUCUCCUACCUCAGAGUUAAAACACUCGAGUUUUUGUGGCUGACUUUUUUCUUUCCAGACUUGUGUUAGCUCCUGGUGAUCCACACACAGCAGAGGGUGACUUUCUGUAGCCCAUUUCCUUAGAGGAGGUCUCUCUCCGCCAUUCAGAGAAAAGACACCACAGGUAGGUUACUUCAACAUCCCAGCUGCUUCUGCUCCUAGGCCCUGAGGAUCUGGGGAGCUAGGGGAGCUUCUGCUCCUAGGCCUCCAUUGCAGUGGGGACGUUUUAUUGUUUCUUGAUCCCUAGAAUCUACACGGUGAAGACUAGAAAUAACCUUUAAGUUCAUUUGGUCCAGCUAUUUACACUUCAUGCUGCCCCUUCAUCACUGUUGCCGGCAGCCUUGCAACUUCGGUCAACAUUCCCCGUGUGUGCACUUAGAAGCCGUGUGUCCGGUGGGACCCGAGAGCCUGGUGCCAUUUCCUGAGAAAGGUGUCUGUACGAAAGAUAAAUUUUGGUGUGGUUAAUACAUUCAGUUUAACUGUAAUUUAGUUCAAUUAAAAAAGAAGAAUGGGACACUUGGC